GACGAACGCUGGCGGCGUGCCUAAUACAUGCAAGUAGAACGCUGAAGCGAGGAGCUUGCUCUUCUUGGAUGAGUUGCGAACGGGUGAGUAACGCGUAGGUAACCUGCCUUGUAGCGGGGGAUAACUAUUGGAAACGAUAGCUAAUACCGCAUAACAAUGGAUGACACAUGUCAUUUAUUUGAAAGGGGCAAUUGCUCCACUACAAGAUGGACCUGCGUUGUAUUAGCUAGUAGGUGAGGUAAUGGCUCACCUAGGCGACGAUACAUAGCCGACCUGAGAGGGUGAUCGGCCACACUGGGACUGAGACACGGCCCAGACUCCUACGGGAGGCAGCAGUAGGGAAUCUUCGGCAAUGGGGGCAACCCUGACCGAGCAACGCCGCGUGAGUGAAGAAGGUUGUCGGAUCGUAAAGCUCUGUUGUAAGUCAAGAACGGGUGUGAGAGUGGAAAGUUCACACUGUGACGGUAGCUGACCAGAAAGGGACGGCUAACUACGUG
rnacentral:rRNA from 1 species